CAAUAGCGUAUAUUAAAGUUGUUGCGGUUAAAAAGCUCGUAGUUGGAUCUCGGCAGGCAGGGGGUGGUUCGCUCUUAGCGCUACUGCCCCAUUUGCCUGUGUGAUUGGCGGAGGUUUCGGGGUGCUCUUCGUUGAGUGACCCGGGGCGCCGUCAGGUUUACUUUGAAAAAAUUAGAGUGCUCAAAGCAGGCUUUUCACGCUUGAAUAUUCGUGCAUGGAAUAAUGGAAUAGGAACUCGUUUCUAUUUUGUUGGUUUUCGGAAAUCGAGUUAAUGAUUAAUAGGGACAAUUGGGGGCAUUAGUAUUCAGACGACAGAGGUGGAAUUCUUGGACCGUCUGAAGACUAACUACUGCGAAAGCAUUUGCCAAGAGUGUUUUCAUUAA
rnacentral:rRNA from 1 species